rnacentral:misc_RNA from 1 species
GGAAGGAUCAUUACCGAGUGCAGGUCUGCCCCCGGGCAGGCCUAACCUCCCACCCGUGAAUACCUGACCAACGUUGCUUCGGCGGUGCGCCCCCCCGGGGGUAGCCGCCGGAGACCACACCGAACCUCCUGUCUUUAGUGUUGUCUGAGCUUGAUAGCAAACCUAUUAAAACUUUCAACAAUGGAUCUCUUGGUUCCGGCAUCGAUGAAGAACGCAGCGAACUGCGAUAAGUAAUGUGAAUUGCAGAAUUCAGUGAAUCAUCGAGUCUUUGAACGCACAUUGCGCCCCCUGGCAUUCCGGGGGGCAUGCCUGUCCGAGCGUCAUUGCUGCCCUUCAAGCCCGGCUUGUGUGUUGGGUCGUCGUCCCCCCCGGGGGACGGGCCCGAAAGGCAGCGGCGGCACCGCGUCCGGUCCUCGAGCGUAUGGGGCUUUGUCACCCGCUCGAUUAGGGCCGGCCGGGCGCCAGCCGGCGUCUCCAACCUUCUAUUUUACCAGGUUGACCUCGGAUCAGGUAGGGAUACCCGCUGAACUUAAGCAUAUCAAUAAGCGGAGGAAAAGAAACCAACCGGGAUUGCCUCAGUAACGGCGAGUGAAGCGGCAAGAGCUCAAAUUUGAAAUCUGGCCCCUCCGGGGUCCGAGUUGUAAUUUGCAGAGGAUGCUUCGGGUGCGGCCCCUGUCUAAGUGCCCUGGAACGGGCCGUCAGAGAGGGUGAGAAUCCCGUCUUGGGCAGGGUGCCCGUGCCCGUGUGAAGCUCCUUCGACGAGUCGAGUUGUUUGGGAAUGCAGCUCUAAAUGGGUGGUAAAUUUCAUCUAAAGCUAAAUACCGGCCGGAGACCGAUAGCGCACAAGUAGAGUGAUCGAAAGAUGAAAAGCACUUUGAAAAGAGAGUUAAACAGCACGUGAAAUUGUUGAAAGGGAAGCGCUUGCGACCAGACUCGGCCCCGGGGUUCAGCCAGCACUCGUGCUGGUGUACUUCCCCGGGGGCGGGCCAGCGUCGGUUUGGGCGGCCGGUCAAAGGCCCCAGGAAUGUGUCGCCCUCCGGGGCGUCUUAUAGCCUGGGGUGCAAUGCGGCCAGCCCGGACCGAGGAACGCGCUUCGGCACGGACGCUGGCGUAAUGGUCGCAAACGACCCGUCUUGAAACACGGACCAAGGAGUCUAACAUCUACGCGAGUGUUCGGGUGUCAAACCCGUACGCGCAGUGAAAGCGAACGGAGGUGGGAGCCCCGCAAGGGGCGCACCAUCGACCGAUCCUGAUGUCUUCGGAUGGAUUUGAGUAAGAGCGUAGCUGUGGGGACCCGAAAGAUGGUGAACUAUGCCUGAAUAGGGCGAAGCCAGAGGAAACUCUGGUGGAGGCUCGCAGCGGUUCUGACGUGCAAAUCGAUCGUCAAAUUUGGGUAUAGGGGCGAAAGACUAAUCGAACCAUCUGGUAGCUGGUUCCUGC